GAUGUGUAAAAUGAAAGGAACACAUACACUAUCUCAUUAGUUCUCCUAACGACCCUAGGAUGCGAGGUGUGAUUAUUGCUCUCUUUCACUGAGGCAGAAAUGGAGUCUCAGACAGCUAAAGCAACUUGCCUGAGGGUACAGAGCUGAUAAAUGCUGGAACUCUAAUUCCAGCUCUCGCCUGAGGCUGAUGGACCUCCAAGGCUGAAUUCAGCCUCUGCAGUCGCUUCUCCAACCAGAUGCUGCAGGAGACUGAGCAUAGGCAGUGGACAUAGACAUGUCAGGAACCCAGCCUCAACCAUGUUGAUGCGGACAAUGUCCAGUGGGAAGGCAUAGUAAGAAGACAGAAGGAACCUCAGCUCAAAAUGGUCAUCCUGUCAGCCAGGACCACUAGCCUAAGAAUAAGCUGUCUGCAGUUUCCUGCCUCUGAGCCUCAACAUGAGAUCUCUCUACAACACUUUCUUCCACAACCAUGCAGGCUGCAGGAUUGCAACUGUCUUUUUAAUCACGCCUUCAGCAGUGCCUGGGACAUUGGAGAAUAAAGCCAGUCCCAUCUGAACCCUCCGAAGAGCAAGAUCACCCAAAAGGAAAAAGCUGCUCUUGUGAGCCUCUGGAGGACUCGAGAUUUCUCUUCAAAAAGCAAGACUCAAAAAAAAAAAAAGAAAAAAGCAAGGCUCCAGUGCCACUGCAGUAAGUAUGGAAAUCUGACCUGCCCCUCAUAUUUGGUCUAAUAGUGAAGCUCAGUGGUCAUUAACUCUUUUCUUGAUGUUUUCUGACAGGUUUUCCUUUCUUCAACCCAGUGAGCCACAGCACUCCAAGGUAGUUGGAGAGCACAUAAUCCCCAGUAGGGAGGGUCUACAGCCCCUUCCAGCUUGAAGAAGCUAUAGAACACAGAGACUUCCACUCCCUCAGCACCCCAUAAAGAGUUAUGGGGAUUUGUGUCUCUUGGGGAAGAUGAGAUAGGAGAUUAGGGCUUGGCAAAGCUGGCUGGGGAAGUAGGCAGGACCUGUUAAUUACAAGGUCUCAGACGCAUGUGCAGAACAGUUCCCAGAGCCCUGUAUGUGGACUUCCUGUGAGAACUCAAGCAGGUUUUCAAUAGGAUGGCCUAGAACUACAUCAGCCUGAGAGGUGGGAUCCCAGCACCGCCUCUCAGGACCCAUAUGUAGAAAUUCUCAUGAAUUUCCUUGAGAUUUGGACAGCAUAAAGGACACACCAACACCAUGAAGAGUGUAACUUUCCACGAUAGCCCAUGCUCUGUUUCCCAGACACAGUGUAUACUUUAGUUUUGCUUUUACCCUCUUUCUCUCUUUACUUAGUCCAAGAGCACUCUACAGAGCCAGUUUCUCCCCCACUCUUCACUUUUACUUUCUCAAAUAAAAUUUGGCCAUUGCUUUUUGCUCAUUUUGCUCAAUUCUUUCUUUGAGACAAGAAGAACCUAGAAUCUAACUCUAGAGAGCAAGGCAAGCAACCCAGAGCCAGUAACAUUCAGAGCCACUUUUAGAAGCAGGCUACCCGGUAACAGUUUGAUCUGCCAAAACAGACAAGAAAGCAAGACAUAUGUGCUGUCAGUGUAAGUGAUACUUGUGUAUGGAACAUGCUGUUUUCGUGUGUGAAGACUGCCUUAGGUAUGAUAAUUGAAGUAAAGAUUAUUUCUGUGGUAAGGUUUUAUUUGUAUUUUCAUUGUAGUUCACAUAGGAAUUUAUAUCUGUUAUUUUUUAGAUUUUAUAAGCAAAUAAACAAUUGAUGUUGAAAAUGUUUAUUCUAAACACUCAGUACAUAUUAAAAAUUUAAUAUUUUAUUUUCUUGUUAAG
rnacentral:lncRNA from 1 species